UAUAUUAUUUGCAUGUAAUGUCUUGGUUAAAUUUUUUUGUGAAUUCUAAAGCAUCAUGCACAAUCAAGAUAACAAAUAUUUAUUAUUGUCCUUAUUGUUAAUCGGCUUAUUCAGCUAAUCGGCGUUUUACCGAUAGCAAUAUAUGAUUAUUAGCGCACACAAAUAUUAGCAUUAUACAUUAGCGAACAGGCUAAGUUUUACUGCUUUUGUACAGCAUCAACGGAUGUCCUAUUUAUGAUUCGUAAACAAUUCAAUUCAUAAAGAGAGCAAUUACUGUCUGCGUUGUGUAAAUGCAUCGUAAUCCCUCGGUUCUGAUUAGCGAACUUUUCAAAUGCUUUCGUUAGAGUACCAUUGAGCAAAUAGCUCUUAAUCUCCGCAGAGAUUGACAGACAGAUCCAACUCCCGUUGCCGGAAUAAAGCAGAUUGCUCCUGGGGAACGAGCUGUAUAGUCUCCACCCUCGAGUACACACGUGCAUGCGUUAACAACUGCAUAUUCCUUAAUUCCGGGAUGGACAUUUCGCCCCCGCAAAUAAUUGCCCCGCAACUCGCAACUCCGACGUCCGCUGAAAAUUUGCCCGAGCGGUGAACAAGAAGUAAAGAGCCGAUCCUUCGGUCGUUGACGAUCGCUCUGCAUUUCGUCGGCGCAGCGCGCCGAAUCCUCGACGAGGCGGCAUCUUGACCCCGGUAUUUUCCUGUAUACCGGUGCAACGGUGAAGACUCAAUUUCGAGUACUCCUCCCGGAGGCUCUUCGACCUUUCAGCCGAUCCCCUUACGCUCUCGUCUUUACGUGCCUUCCUGAGCAUCGUCAAGAUGCUAUCCGGAGGAAAACGCCAUAUCGAACAGCCGGACGAGUCGUACCCGAUCUCUCCAGCAUGCUCCAGUUGAAUCGGCGCAAUGGAAUUCGUUUCGGUUACCCCGAACUCGGCUCCUUCAGAAUAUUUUUUAAAUUAAUAUAUAGUGGAGCACACUUGAUUUUUUAUUUACCUCAGUGUGCACAAAUUGCACAAAAAAGUUGGAGUUCUUUUACAGAUCAAAAAGUUAUGUUUUAUUUUAUUGCAUACGUAAGACGAAAAACUGUUCCUCUGAGUUUCUAUCGAGUCGAAGAGAAGCUUUUCGAGAGGAAGUAUACAUCAAAUAAAAUUGAAGAUAAUAGAGAAUACAUAUAUACGUAACUGCUUGUUAUGGAUUCGUAUUCUAACGUGAAAGAAAUUUAAGGAAAGACCGAAGAUUAAGGAGAGAUGAUCAAGUUAAGCCGAGAACACGACAUAGUUUUGACAAGUAAGAACAUGCCACGAUUUGGAAAUUAUCGCUUCUAACUUAGUCCUCGAGAUACCGGAGCAAUGAGCAGUCUUUGAUCCGCGCUAGGUAAGUAAUGAAGUAAUCUGCACGUACAUAGGAGCCGUAAUUACCAGCGGGAUUAGCUGCGGCUACCUUUGCGGUAUGUUUAUGAUAACGGUAUGUAGGAUUAGUUUCUUCGGCAUUUACAUCUCGCAGCUCGUACGGAUAAACACGAAGUUAUCGUGAGCUGAGGCUGUAGUAACGAUCGCUUAUAAUCAGCAAAUUUGCGGCCAAGCCUUAUCUACCUGUACAUUGUCCAUACAAUGCGGCCUGCUUACCGCGGUAUCAACCUAAAUGCGUCUAUAUACCAUUCGGGAAAUCUCUCGUUAUAUAACGGGAAUUGCGACAACGACGUGAUCAUAAUUGUUGCUUACUCUCAGUCACGUACGUCGGGAGCUUUCGUCAUCUAAGCACCUCCAGUAAAUUGCAAUGCGGGAUACCAUCUUGACUUUUGAAUCGGCAAACGAGCCGACCGUGGAUAAGACCUCUCGAGAAUAAAACGAAAGGAGCCUAGACGACAAUCGAGCGAGAGGAUAUGAACCGUUGGAAACUUAUUCAGAAAUCACAGGGCGGGAGUAACAAAAGUUUUACGGUCGAGUUCUACGGAUAGCUGAAAAUUAAAUCCCACCGAGGACGGGGAAUGUUCGAUCUUAUAAUGCGCUCCAGUGGCAAUCGGCAUAUGAUCAUUCAUCACAGCCAUUUCUCAUCUCUCUGCAUAAGUUUGAGAUUGUACGCGUGACGGUGAUCGAGAAAAAACCGAAAAAAAGAACAAAAACGAUGCUUCAAACACAUGAAUAACUCAAAUUAAUGAUAUAAGUUCGUAUAUGUUUGAUUAAUUUUAGAAAGCGUAAAAUAUAAUGUACAAUUUUUUUUACUUCAAUAUAAUUUAUCAUAACUAAUUGCAUUUCUUACGGCUUCACGAUUUUGUGUAGACGUUUUCUCGGGGAAAGUCAAAUACGAAUUAUGCGUACAUGCGCUCGACGAUGCAAAUGAAACAAUUGACGUAAAUAUUUGACGCCGCACCUACAUUUACUUUUUGCUCGGCGCUCGUGAGCUUAAAUAGACCUGCAUAAAACACGACUAAGGCAAGCGCAAGACACCCGACGCCUUUUCGCUUGCCCGCUAAAUAAAACCAAGCGUGUCAAGUGCGGUAUAAGAAGUGACAUGAGACGGCAUGUAGAGCAACACGGUGGAAGUAGCAGCCUUUAUAUUCGUAAUACGCAUUGUUGAGCACGAUUCUGUCUUAUCAAACAUAAAUUUAUAUGAAAAACUGCAUGUAAGCGGAAAGCAACUUUCAGGCAAGGAUUUGUACGAAUUAUUAAUAUUACGAAUUACAGUCGGUAAUAGAAAAAUACCACAACUUGCCCCGCAAAUAUGAGAAAUUUACUUUUUAUUUAUAGAAUUGUGAUAACAAAAAGAGCUAUACAUUUGCCAUUUCUCUUCAAAAUUGUAAAAUUUUUACGUCCUUGAUCAAAACAUCUAUAUUAAUAUUAGUAAUGAAAAAAAUAUAUCAAAUAUAAAAAUAUAUAAAUAUAAUAAAUUCAGGUAUACGUAAUCAAUUUUGUUGCCUAAAUAAUAAUGAUAUCAUGCUAGAGUAAAAAUUAAAUUUAUUCUAUAAAGGAAAAUCUAAAUAAA